rnacentral:rRNA from 1 species
UACGUAGGUGGCAAGCGUUGUCCGGAUUUAUUGGGUUUAAAGGGUGCGUAGGCGGCUUUGUAAGUCAGUGGUGAAAUACUCCAGCUCAACUGGAGAGGUGCCAUUGAUACUGCAGAGCUAGAGUACUGAUGAGGUAGGCGGAAUGGACGGUGUAGCGGUGAAAUGCUUAGAUAUCGUCCAGAACACCGAUAGCGAAGGCAGCUUACUAAAGAGUAACUGACGCUGAGGCACGAAAGUGUGGGGAUCAAACAGG